rnacentral:rRNA from 1 species
CGUGUAGGCGGUCUUCUAAGUCUGGUGUGAAAGCCCGGGGCUUACCCCCGGAAGGGCGCUGGAAACUGGGAGACUGGAGUACCGGAGAGGAGGGUGGAAUUCCUGGUGUAGCGGUGAAAUGCGUAGAUAUCAGGAGGAACACCGGUGGCGAAGGCGGCCCUCUGGACGGAUACUGACGCUGAGACGCGAAAGCGUGGGGAGCAAACA